AAGCUCUAUCUGUAAAUUUAUAAAGAAAAUAUCUAUUUGUAGGGACAGUAUACCCAGAAAAUCCUUAUCUCUUUGUCCAAGUAAUAGUAGAUAGGGGCUCUGAUAUGCUGACAUGUAUCCACCCGAACUUGGCAUUACAGUUACAGAGAGAACAAUGGCAGAAGCCAGCCGUUUAGUAUCAUCCUCAUCAGCAAGAACUAUCAACCAAAUUCCAAGCUCAUUCCAAUCUAAGCUCAAUUCCCAUAAACUUCAAUCCCACAAUGUCAGUGUUCGGUUUAGAGCUGCUUCCAGAAAGCAUGACUACUCAUCUCUGAUUUUUAGAUUAUGGAGUGUUUCCGUUGUUACCCUUUAAUGGGUGCAGAUUAGCAAGAAAGACAGUCGGAGUGGUCGACGCCGUCUGAUCACGAUUUCAACAGCAGAUGGAAGGUGGCAUGGAACAUGGAGCUGUGACUUCCUUGUAUCUCUCAAAGACCUGGACUUGGAUGACUUGGUUGAAGAUGAUGAACAAAAAGAUGCUCAGGUUUAUAUCAAUCUCAGCAUCCAAAAGCAUGCCAGCUUUGGUCUCUCAAUAGAUGGAAGGAUUGUGACAUCUUUCACUAGGAAAUGUGGCAUUUGCUCUUCCCCAUAUUGCAGAGAGAUUGAUACCUACUUCAACGUUUGGGUUCUGGCUUCGAGUAGAGACCAUGCUGCAACCCAUCAAUUGCCUGAAAUUGGUGGAGAUGAUCCAUCAUUAAGUCUCUAAACUCAACUCUCUCUCUCUCUCUCAGCUAAGUACAUACUCAUCGAUGGUGUGUGAUAUGUGCAGGUUAUCUAUGUGAAACCAGGGUAUGAAGCCAACUUGGAUUCACUGAUACAGGACACCAUCCGGCUAACUACCACCACCAAGGACACUUGCUCAGAGUCAUGCCAGAAAUCUGAACCCACCCUGCGUUAUAUUGGCAAGAAGAAUGCAGCUUCCAUCGACAAGAGGUGGUGUAGACUGUUGGAACUAAGGAAAGCGAAUCUACAUGAUGCAAAUAUUUAGAUUAUUUAUACUAAGAUUUUCUAUAUUUUCUGUCUAUAUGAGCCAUAGAUUAAAAAAAAAACCCAAGUCCUAAAUUUUGAUGUUGAUCAUGAAAUAUUGGAAGCCAUGGUUACUUUGAUUAUGGAGCUUGAAUCGUGCAAAGUAUAUAAUUUAGUAUUUAAGAUUCUAGCCUCUUUGUAAUAAAUUUUGUAAUACUUUGCAAUAAAUCUCAAUUUUGUUGAAA